rnacentral:lncRNA from 1 species
UAGCAACUCAUGCAUUUUUCCUUUUUUUUUCAAGGUUUAUUAAACCGAAAGUUUAGAAUGUUAGGUCUGUGGUGGAACACAUAGUUUGUGCCACUAGAUUGAUUUAGCAAUGCUAUUUGAGAUGCCAUUUUUUUUUCUGUUUCUGUUUUUCUCACUGCUUGACCUUGGAAAAAUGGUGUUUUCUUUAUGUUGAUGAAUACUCCUCAAUUUGUUUCUCUUGGUUUCUUAUAAUGCUGGCGUUCCCUUUGUUGCUAUUAUCUACUUCAUAUCCUAUAUCCUAUGGAAUCUAAUUUCAUUGUUUUAUUUGCGUGCUUUCUUACGUAGACUGUUCGCCGCCCCGCUCCCGCUGAAUUGUGCUAGGCAGGCUGGCCGCUCGACCGGCCGUGCUCUGUUAAGCCUGGUAUUGCAGCGAGUGAGGACGCCGCAUGGCCGCAACGCCGACGCGUGCGAGCUUCGCCGUAGCUCUCCAACUGCCGCGCGUCGCUCGGCCCGCCAUUGAAUCUGUGCAGGAGCUGCGCUCGCAGCGGUGCCACCACCGUUGCUCAGCCACACUGCUACGCUCGCUGGAUUGGAGAAGCCGAGAAAGAAAGAUAAGAAGAUUAGAAGAAGAGAAGGGGGAAGAGAAGCUGCCUCCUUUCCCUCUCAACGUCAUGCUCAAGCUCACCGGCGGAGCUCGGGAGUGUUGACUGGUGACCCAGGCCACCACCUCCUAGCAAGAAGCGCAUGCUUUGCUAGCUCCGGGAUCUGAGGGAAAAAUAAGCAAUGGUGAAAAGAGGAAGAAACGAGUAGGAUGAGAGAAACGAGAAGAGGAGGUGGUCUGUGCGAGAUAAGCUCUAGCACUCCGCAACGUCAGUUGGAAAGAAAUGGGCAAGCGCUUUGAGCUCGCUCAGAACAUAAUCUCUAUCUCUACCUAAUAUUAAAGCAAGUAAGGCUUUUGCCAAAAAAAAUCAUCACUUGUCAGAGAGCUCCCGCGCCGCCUCGGCCCUGGCCGCUUGCCACGGCCGCGCCCGAGCCGCGCCGCCCGGCCUCGGCCCCAGCCGCCCGCACCGCCCCAGCCAAGCCGGGCGGCGGGCACAGGCCAAGCGGCGCGACGCGGGCGGACGGGGUCGGGGAGGCGGCUCUGGUGCGUCCGGACGGUGUCAUUAGUUUGAAAAUUACAAUUGAUCUUUUACCGUAGCAACACACGGGCAUUUUGCUAGUACUAUAAUAAAUAAAGUAUUAGAUCCCAUCUCAAUAAGAUUAAGUAAUAAAGGAAGAUGCGUUAAUAAUAUUUAAUAAUAUAUAUAGGUAAGAUCGAUCGUAAAACAUUGAACUGUACACUAAUACACAUGUAAAAGUAAAACAGGUUCUCCUCUCUUGAUUUUUACACAUGUAAAACAGGUUCUCUUGAUUUUUUAGAAUAGGUGGAAGAGAUGAUAUUUUUUUUCACUUUUCUCUUUCUUUAUAUUUAUUUUUCUCUUUCCAUUAAUUUUUUCCUUAAUUAUUUCUCUUUCGACCGUUUUAUCCUCAUCCCUUAUACUGUCUCUGCGCUCUCUCAUUCUAUCGUCUUCUCUCAUAUCUUACCUCUCUGACUCUCUCGUUCUCCGGCCCCUAUGCAAGGCCCUGUCGCCGGUCCGCGCCGCUCGGGCGUAGCCGCACCUGCUGCUGAUUCGCGUCGCGCGACCGCGCCGUCCCGCCACCGUUCAUCCCACAGCACCACCAGAGAAGGUAGGAAUCGCACGUUCGAACCCUAGUGUGGUCUUCCUGUUCCAUGGAGUGGUUGGAGGUUGGGGAACGGAUGGGUAGUGAUCUUUUUGAGAAGUUGAAUUCCAGCUGGUGGAAGCACGGUCUGAACUCCUGUGAAAAAUACGCUGGGAGAAAGCAGUGCUUUCGUGAAAGCUGCUGCAGAAUCUAGCCCUUUGGUUAGGGUUGAGCUUUUUGGCAGGUCGCAGAAGUUGAACCAAACGGAGGCUCUACUGGCAGCAUAGGCAAUUACGGAGGAUGAAAAAACACUUGCAAUGGCUUGUUGAUUCUAUGCAAUUUUUUUGUAGUCUUGAUUAAAUUGUGCCACAUAGAUUUGUUUUCAUUGCUAACAUACUUGCGCUAGGGAUUUGGAUCUCAUCUGCCCGUCAUAACCGUGUGGAAGAAAAACAAACAUUGGCACACAAGAUGGUUUGCUACCAUAGCUUAUAACAGAUAUAUCAUAUCAUAUAUAUGCAUAGACAGGUACAAUGUCUACCAGCAACAAGGGUGGUAGCAGCGGUGACAACGGACAACAAAACCGGCAACAACAUUGCAGUAUCCUGCAUAGAUAGGUUUUUAUUACUGCAAAAUUGAUCCCGGCAGCGCUACCGGUAGUUGCGGUAGAUAGGAUUGUACAUGCAGGUCUCUGCAUAUUGCACCAGGUCUCUGGGCGCAGGCAGACGGGUCGCCAAACCUGCAGAGGAAAGUUUGAGACUUUGGAGGCGAAUGGAAAGAUUUGGAGGUCUACUCAGGGAAACGGAAGCAGAACAGAAAACUUUGGAAAUGUAUCUACAGAAGGAAAGGAGGGUGAAGCGUACCGAGCUCAUAGGCUUUUGCAGCCACGGCGGCAGCAAUGUGAGCGGAGAUCUUUCUGAUGCUGCUGAAGGGCGGGAAGAUCGAUCCCUUCUCAAAGUUCUCCUGAUUGGCCUGAUCAGCUAGUGCUUCCGCUGUUUAAAUGAUUACAGCCAUGAGAUUGCUUCACAUCAAACCCUCCCUAGUUUCCCAUUUGGAUACAUAAUUAACAUUUACAUAUGUUCAUUGACUCCAUUAAGAAGGUACUUACAGGCAGCAAGAAGCAUGUCCUCAUGGACACGGGUGGCUCCAGCCAUAAUCAGACCAAGGCCAAGGCCAGGGAAAAUGUAAGCAUUGUUUGCCUGUCAUGAGUAGCGCAAUUGAGUUAGUAAUGAACUUGUGCUUUCAAAUAGCAGGUGCUUAGAUCAGUAAGGUUGUGUUGCCUCGGAGAAGUAUUAGAUAAAAGAACUACCUGCCCAGGUACAAAAGUCUUCCCAUCGUACUCAACAGGGUUAAAUGGACUACCACUGGCAAAUACAGCACGCCCCUGCAAAUAAAGAGACAUAAGUCCCAUUGUACUCCACAAAGUUUGUUUUCUCAAAUUUAGGCACACUUCUUUUUUUUUCUGGCCAAUUAGGUCACCAUUUAAAUGGUACUUGCACUGAGAUAAAUUUGCAGAUGCGACUCUGCCGAGUGUUGAGAGAGCUCACCUUGGUCCAGUUAUAUGCUUGUUCAGCAGUACAUUCAGAAUGUGAAGUUGGAUUUGACAGUGAAAAGAUGACAGGCCUCUGUAUUUGUAUUUUGGAGAUAUCAUAAGUUAGCUAACCACCCUUGUAAUGUAACACCUUCAACAUUACAUCUUGAGUAGCAAAAGCUGACAAAAGUUACCUCAUUGAAGGAAGCCAUGGCCUCAACAACUUCUUUUGUGAAUGCCCUUCCAACUCCUGAUGUCCCAAUCAAAACCGUAGGUUUGAUGGACUGGAGAAUAAAUAAAGAAACAUUAGUAUGAUUUUGAUGAAAUAACACCAAAAAGGAUAGCUUUAAGUAAAGGCAGCAGCUGUUAAUGAAUACAAUCACAAUCUUAAAUAUGCAUGAACAGUGAUUACCUGGACAGCAUCAAACAAGGUUGACACAGGCUCAUGCUCAUGUGCCCAAGGUUGUUUGAAUGACGGAAGGGAUUCUUUACGGGAGCUAACAAUUAAGCCCUAUAUAUAAAAUAUUGCAUCAGGCCAUCAGAUAAUCAGUUGAAGAAAAUAUUGUAUUAGCAAUUCUGAAUAUUCCUUUGGUAACAAACCUUUGAGUCCACCAGCCAAACCUUCUGGCGGCACUCUUCAAUCGGAGCUUUUGUCUAUAAAUCGAUCAAACCAGUAAACGUUAGCAGUAAGCACUACCAAUUAUGGAAACUGACCUUCCCACAUUCUGAAAAAUGUAGCAAGUUACCUGUUUUGAAAUCUGAAGAGCAAUGAGUUCUGCUAUGCCAGUUCCAGCCUGCAGUCAAAUACAUAAUCAGAAUCUUUUCUUCCGUGUCUCUAAAAUGAAGAAUCUCAUUGAUGGGAACAAUUUCAAUUCAACGGAUAUAUUUCAACAGUUUGACGGCAAAGGGAAAAAAAAAGUCCACCAAGAUAAGCUAUGAGCCUAUCACAGUAUCACUAACCUCCCCAGCACCAAGGAACAAAUAAGUGUGCUCUGCUAGGGUCCCACCAACCACCUUGAGUGAUGCUAACAAACCUGCAAGGACCACUGAUGCUGUGCCCUGCAAUCAUUCAUAUUUCCAUAUUGGUACAACCAUAAAAGGCAACAGACUGGAUGAUGGUGAUGACUCAAUUAAGGAUCACACCUGGUAAUAGUAAAAAAGAAAAAUAUCAUGGUUUGGUUCCAUUUACCUGGAUAUCAUCAUUGAAAACAAGAUGGCUCUUGCUAUAUUUUUCAAGCAGAUCAAAAGCAUUAUGAUUGGCAAAGUCCUCAAACUGUAAAAAAAAAAACGGUUACAUUUUGUGAUAAGAGUAAAUUGAUCUGACAUAGCGACAAUAGUACACUGAAAGUCUCUGACUCACCUGAAUGAGGACUUUCUCACCGUAGAUUUGCACCACAGCGCUCAUGAAUUCUUCUAUAAGCUCAUGAUAUUCCUGCCAUUAAGGAAAAUGCACAUGUAAGGCCUCAAGUGCCUGAUAUUUUGCCAACUCCUUACUUCCUGCAAUCUUGUCGCAGCUACAUACCUUGCCAGUUGCACGUUUUUGCCGCAGUCCAAUGUAGAACUCAUCAUUAAGCAGUUCCUCAUUGUUCGUGCCAACAUCAAUUGUAAUGGGCAAACACUGCAAAGCAAUUCAUUGUAAAUUUGAGAUAACUUAGUUAUAUGUUGAUACCAAACAUACAGGAUCACUACAAGAGAGGCUACAAAAAGGGGACAGUAAACAUGGGGCCACUUACAGCUGAUGGGCGAACUCCUCCAAGGGCAGUGUAGAGAGCAAGUUUGCCUACAGGAAUUCCCAUUCCCUAUAGAAGGAUUCAGCAUAACAUAAGCAAAGGCCCUGAAGCAAAGCAACUAAAAAGGCAAUCAUACCUGAGCACCCAAAUCUCCAAGUCCCAAGAUUCGCCCACCAUCAGUGACACAAAUAACUUGAAUAUCCCUCUGAGGCCAGUUCCUUAGAACCUCUAGGACCCUCCCCCUGGGAUGCACCUCCAGUCAGUCCAAAUCCAAUAGACGGACAGAAGAGAACUGCAUAAUUACUGCAAAUUCAAGCAGAUAUAGGCACACGUACUUGUCUCUCAGGCUGACAUACAGACCCUGCGGUUGUCUAAAGAUGGACCCAUACUUCUGGCAGGCCUCGCCAACAGUCGGUGUGUAAACAAAAGGGAGCAGCUCCUCCACAUUAUCAAUUAAAAGCCUGUAGAAAAGCCUCUCAUUUCUCUCCUGAAAACAGAAGGUGUUAAGAACAAUGCAACAACCAACCAUUCAUUCUAACGGAACAUAUUACUCCGGUACUUGUAAGCUUUCAUAUGAGUAAAAGAAAAUAGUGACUGGGAUUACCUGAAGGUCCAUCAUGGCCAUAUAGCGCUGCAAAGGAAGCUGGUACUGUCGCAGGUUGUGCAUGAACUUCUU